AAUCAGUUAUGGUUCCUUAGAUCGUUCAUACUACAUGGAUAACUGUGGUAAUUCUAGAGCUAAUACAUGCAAAAAGCUCCGACCGUAUGGGAAGAGCGCUUUUAUUAGACCAAAACCAAUGGGGUCGCAAGACUCCUUUGUAUGGUGACUCUGGAUAACUUUGUGCUGAUCGCAUGGCCUAGAGCCGGCGACGUAUCUUUCAAGUGUCUGCCCUAUCAACUUUCGAUGGUAAGCGAUUUGCCUACCAUGGUUGUAACGGGUAACGGGGAAUCAGGGUUCGAUUCCGGAGAGGGAGCAUGAGAAAUGGCUACCACAUCUACGGAAGGCAGCAGGCGCGCAAAUUACCCACUCCUAGAACGGGGAGGUAGUGACGAAAAAUAACAAUACCGGACUCAAUGAGGCUCGGUAAUUGAAAUGAGUACAGUUUAAAACCCUUAACGAGGAUCUAUUGGAGGGCAAGUCUGGUGCCAGCAGCCGCGGUAAUUCCAGCUCCAAUAGCGUAUAUUAAAGUUGUUGCAGUUAAAAAGCUCGUAGUUGGAUCUCGGGUACUAGCAUGUGGUACGCUUAAUUGCUGUUACUACAUGUCUGGUCCUAAUCAACCGGUUGGCCGUUGAUGUCCUUUAUUGGGUGUUUUCGGUAGCCGGUACGUUUACUUUGAGAAAAUUAGAGUGCUUAAAGCAGGCCUUACGCCUGAAUAAUGUUGCAUGGAAUAAUAGAAUAGGACCUCGGUUCUAUUUUGUUGGUUUUGUAGAGCAUUGAGGUAAUGAUUAAUAGGGACAGACGGGGGCAUUCGUAUU
rnacentral:rRNA from 1 species